rnacentral:lncRNA from 1 species
UGCAUGGUUAAAUUAACUAACUAUGAUAUACAAUUUAAUUAACAUAAUACAUAGUAAAUAAACACUGUAUGCAGUUAAAUUAACACGGUACACAGUUAACUAAACAUGGUACAUAGUUAAAUUAACACAGUAUACAGUUAAUUAAAUAUGAUAUAUGGUUAAAUAAUACUAUAUAUAGUUAAAUUAAUACGGCACACAGUUAACUAAAUAUGGUAUAUAGUUAAAUUUGUUAGAAAUCCCUACAGUUUCGUACGUGUAGUUUAAAACUUUUUCUAGACAUCUAUGCAGUAAAAAUAAAUAAAUUAAAAUAAUUUUAAUUUAUUCACAUACC